UACGUAGGGGGCUAGCGUUGUCCGGAUUUAUUGGGCGUAAAGAGCGUGUAGGCGGUUCGGUAAGUCUGCCGUGAAAACCCAGGGCUCAACCCUGGGCGUGCGGUGGAUACUGCCGAGCUAGAGGGUGGUAGAGGCGAGUGGAAUUCCCGGUGUAGCGGUGAAAUGCGCAGAUAUCGGGAGGAACACCAGUAGCGAAGGCGGCUCGCUGGGCCAUACCUGACGCUGAGACGCGAAAGCGUGGGGAGCAAACAGG
rnacentral:rRNA from 1 species